UGGGGAAUAUUGGGCAAUGGGCGAAAGCCUGACCCAGCGACGCCGCGUGGGUGAUGAAGGCCUUCGGGUUGUAAAACCCUUUCGUGCGGAAAGAAUAGUCUCGUAGCGAAUAACUACGGGAUUUGACGGUACCGCAGGAAGAAGCACCGGCUAACUCCGUGCCAGCAGCCGCGGUAAUACGGAGGGUGCAAGCGUUGUUCGGAAUUAUUGGGCGUAAAGGGCGCGUAGGUGGCUGUGAUAGUCAGAUGUGAAAUCCUUCGGCUCAACCGAAGAACUGCAUCUGAAACUUCAUAGCUCGAGUACAGGAGAGGGAAACGGAACUCCCGGUGUAGAGGUGAAAUUCGUAGAUAUCGUGAGGAACACCAGUGGCGAAGGCGGUUUCCUGGCCUGAUACUGACGCUGAGGCGCGAAAGCGUGGGGAGCAAACAG
rnacentral:rRNA from 1 species